UACGUAGGGGGCAAGCGUUGUCCGGAAUCAUUGGGCGUAAAGAGCGUGUAGGCGGCCCGGUAAGUCCGCUGUGAAAGUCCAGGGCUCAACCCUGGGAUGCCGGUGGAUACUGUCGGGCUCGAGUCCGGAAGAGGAGUGUGGAAUUCCUGGUGUAGCGGUGAAAUGCGCAGAUAUCAGGAGGAACACCAAUGGAGAAGGCAGCAAUCUGGGACGUGACUGACGCUGAGACGCGAAAGCGUGGGGAGCAAACAGG
rnacentral:rRNA from 1 species